rnacentral:rRNA from 1 species
UACGAAGGGGGCUAGCGUUGUUCGGAAUUACUGGGCGUAAAGCGCGUGUAGGCGGGCCGUUAAGAUGGGGGUGAAAGCCCGGAGCUCAACUCCGGAACUGCCUUCAUGACUGGCGGCCUGGACUCAAGGAGAGGCAAGUGGAAUUGCGAGUGUAGAGGUGAAAUUCGUAGAUAUUCGCAGGAACACCAGUGGCGAAGGCGACUUGCUGGACUUGUAGUGACGCUGAGACGCGAAAGCGUGGGGAGCAAACAGG